rnacentral:rRNA from 1 species
UCUGAACCCUUCGGGGGGACGACGGUGGAAUGAGCGGCGGACGGGUGAGUAACACGUAAAGAACCUGCCCAUAGGUCUGGGAUAACCACGAGAAAUCGGGGCUAAUACCGGAUGUGUCAUCGGACCGCAUGGUCCGCUGAUGAAAGGCGCUCCGGCGUCGCCCAUGGAUGGCUUUGCGGUGCAUUAGCUAGUUGGUGGGGUAACGGCCCACCAAGGCGACGAUGCAUAGCCGACCUGAGAGGGUGAUCGGCCACACUGGGACUGAGACACGGCCCAGACUCCUACGGGAGGCAGCAGUAGGGAAUCUUCCACAAUGGACGAAAGUCUGAUGGAGCAACGCCGCGUGAACGAUGAAGGCUUUCGGGUCGUAAAGUUCUGUUGUAAGGGAAGAACAAGUGCCGCAGGCAAUGGCGGCACCUUGACGGUACCUUGCGAGAAAGCCACGGCUAACUACGUGCCAGCAGCCGCGGUAAUACGUAGGUGGCAAGCGUUGUCCGGAAUUAUUGGGCGUAAAGCGCGCGCAGGCGGCCUCUUAAGUCUGAUGUGAAAGCCCCCGGCUCAACCGGGGAGGGCCAUUGGAAACUGGGAGGCUUGAGUAUAGGAGAGAAGAGUGGAAUUCCACGUGUAGCGGUGAAAUGCGUAGAGAUGUGGAGGAACACCAGUGGCGAAGGCGACUCUUUGGCCUAUAACUGACGCUGAGGCGCGAAAAGCGUGGGAGCAA